UACGGAGGGGGCUAGCGUUGUUCGGAAUUACUGGGCGUAAAGCGCGCGUAGGCGGACCUGCAAGUCGGGGGUGAAAGCCCGAGGCUCAACCUCGGAACUGCCUUCGAUACUGCGGGUCUCGAGUCCGGGAGAGGUGAGUGGAAUUCCUAGUGUAGAGGUGAAAUGCGUAGAUACCUGGAGGAACACCGGUGGCGAAGGCGGCAUCCUGGACCAACACUGACACUGAGGAGCGAAAGCCAGGGGAGCAAACGGG
rnacentral:rRNA from 1 species